GAGCUGGGGCCGGGCUUCGGCGCAGAGGCAGGAAGAGGAAGCGGCACCCGCUUCGGGGACCCAGCCGGCGGCCAGGCCACCGCGCCCACCCGGCCGAUGGCACCGUGUUCCUGCGCCUCGGGAGGGAGGAGGCUCUGCGCGGGACUGCAGGUUCUGCCCCGCAUCGGAGUGAUCGCUGAGCCUGACGCUCUCGAAGGCUGGGCCUGGGGCCCGCAAUCUACUCCGGAGGCUUUCCCACUGGGCAGGGUCGCUAGCAGGGUGCCACCCGGGUGCAGUGAGGACCUGGAGCCCCUGCCCCAGGCUGUGAGGAGACUUGACCAGAGCUGCCUGAAUGCUCCACGGAGCAGGAGGAAGCAUUCCCAUGUGAAAGAUGAGCUCCCUAUAAAAGCAACGCUCUUAUCAUCGAGAACAGAAAGUUGAAGCCAAGAGAGAGCUCCACAAGCUGACCUUGUUAAACUAACCCUUAUCUUCUUAGUCGCUUCUUUACCCAAUUAACUACCCUAG
rnacentral:lncRNA from 10 species